AUGAGCACCAAGUUGUUCAGGCGCAUUGCAGAGAAACUAGCGAGCCAUGACCGGUUUUUUCAGCAAAGGAGGUAUACCGCCGGAGAGCUUGGGCAUAGCACCUUUCAGAAGGUGGCAGCCGCUUUGCGUAUGUUGGCAUACGGUAUCCCGGCUGAUCUAGUUGAUGAUCACUUGGCUAUGGGUGAGAGCCAAGUCAUCAUGUGUGUCAAGCGCUUCACAGUCGGAAUUGUCCAAGUGGUUGGCCAGAAGUAUUUGAGAUCUCCCAAUGCUGAAGACGUCAAGCUAUUGGAGAUGAACAAAACUCGCGGCUUCCCAGGUAUGCUUGCCUCAAUACACUACAAGAAAUAUGUCAACUAG
rnacentral:rRNA from 1 species